GAUGAACGCUGGCGGCGUGCCUAAUACAUGCAAGUCGAGCGAACGGACGAGAAGCUUGCUUCUCUGAUGUUAGCGGCGGACGGGUGAGUAACACGUGGAUAACCUACCUAUAAGACUGGGAUAACUUCGUGAAACCGGAGCUAAUACCGGAUAAUAUUUUGAACCGCAUGGUUCAAAAGUGAAAGACGGUCUUGCUGUCACUUAUAGAUUGAUCCGCGCUGCAUUAGCUAGUUGGUAAGGUAACGGCUUACCAAGGCAACGAUGCAUAGCCGACCUGAGAGGGUGAUCGGCCACACUGGAACUGAGACACGGUCCAGACUCCUACGGGAGGCAGCAGUAGGGAAUCUUCCGCAAUGGGCGAAAGCCUGACGGAGCAACGCCGCGUGAGUGAUGAAGGUCUUCGGAUCGUAAAACUCUGUUAUUAGGGAAGAACAUAUGUGUAAGUAACUGUGCACAUCUUGACGGUACCUAAUCAGAAAGCCACGGCUAACUACGUG
rnacentral:rRNA from 1 species